rnacentral:lncRNA from 1 species
GCUGUGCCUUAGACAUAUUUGGUUAUGCCAAGAAUCAAGCAUAUCUAAAUCCCUUAAAAGUUAGACUUAAUCUCUUUUCUCUCAAAAAAAAGGUAUGUGUUCACAAUUAUGUCUAAUUUCUAAUGAAAUGACAUAACUGAUCGAUCGAUGAAUACACAUACAUAUAUGAUAUAAUCCAAAUAUAUCUUCCUUCUGUACUC